rnacentral:misc_RNA from 1 species
GAACUUAAAAAUAUAAGAUAAAUUAAAAUCCUUCUAAUACUUAAUAGUUAGUUUCUAAGUAACACGUUGAUGUAGAUAAUCUAGAGUGGUAUUAACAUGGACAAUUAUUGUUGUUUUUUGGAGGUAAAGUCCUUCUAAUUAGUUGCUAUAAAUGUAGCGUUUCAUUAUUCUGUAUGGCUGAGAUUCUUUCAUAGUUGAUCUAUGAAGAAAAUCAUAACUAGU